UUAAAGUCCAUUUGCAACUCAAAUGUCUCCUUUCUCUUUAGCUUUUCACGAGUUUUGAUUCUCUCAAUACUCACAUGCAUUAUCUCUCUCUCUUUUUCAUAAACAUGCUCUCUCUCUCCCUCUCUCUUUGUAUCCAUUCAUGUGAAGAAAAAAACACAUAGUAAAAAAAAAACUUCAAGCUCUCACUAUUUAAAACCACAAAUCAUUCAUGCAAACAAAGAUUUCCAACUUUAAUCUAUCUAUAACAUGCAUCAGAAGUCCAUAAACACACAAAAAUAAAAUCAAUUCCCUCAACCCCUUUUGAAUCCUAACACCCAAUCCACAAUUUCAAAAACAAUUACAUAAUACAAGACAAAAAUCAAAGAAAAAGGGUAAAAAUGAAGCAACAAAAGUGAAUCAACAAUUGAAUAAUGAAUCGAAAUCAACAAAGAUCUAUCGAUUUGGAGGCUUCAACGACUAUGAUCUAACUAGGUCUGUAGAGGAAUUCAUCAGCACUUCGUUCCUUUUUGCCCCCUUUUCAGAGUGAGUCAGGGUGUUCUUAUAUAGGAGAGAUUUUCUUAGUCAGAUUCGUGUGAGAGAUUUUGCAGAUCUUUCUCAAGUGUGUAAAGGUUGAAACUGAUUUGUGUGCUGGCAUAUUGGAGGAGAAAAAACGCGACUUGAUGAGUUGGAGAGAAGUUUUGUAACAAAACUCUUGCUCAAAACAUCUCCUGCUGUGAAUUUUCUUUUUACUGCAACUUGUAAACUGAGAUAACUUUGUUUUUUUAAUGUGAUUUAUAAUGUAAAUAUUAUGUUAAUUUCACUGAUGCAUAAUUAGUUUGAAUGCAAUGCGUUUUUCUGUGCAA